GAACAUAGCUCAGUUGCUUAGAGCUUGGUGCUGAUAACGCCUAGGUUGCAGGAUCGAUCCCCGUAAUGGACA